rnacentral:rRNA from 1 species
UAAUACGAAGGGGGCUAGCGUUGUUCGGAAUUACUGGGCGUAAAGCGCAUGUAGGCGGCUAUUCAAGUCGGGGGUGAAAUCCCAGGGCUCAACCCUGGAACUGCCUUCGAUACUGUUUAGCUUGAGUGUGGAAGAGGUUGGUGGAACUGCAAGUGUAGAGGUGAAAUUCGUAGAUAUUUGCAAGAACACCGGUGGCGAAGGCGGCCAACUGGUCCAUUACUGACGCUGAGAUGCGAAAGCGUGGGGAGCAAACAGGAUUAGAUACCCUGGUAGUCCACGCCGUAAACGAUGAGAGCUAGCUGUUGGAAAGUUUACUUUUCAGUAGCGCAGAUAACUCGAUAAGCUCUCCGCCUGGGGAGUACGGUCGCAAGAUUA